CUUACUAAUGGGUAGUAAGUUUAUGGGGACUAACCCUCCUCGUAGCGGAUAGAACCCGCAACGGACUUCUAAAAGGAGAAAUAAAAUG
rnacentral:ncRNA from 1 species